CCCUUAGAUGUCCUGGGCCGCACGCGCGCUACACUGACGGGGCCAACGAGUCCCCCCUUGCCCGAAAGGGCCGGGUAAUCUUGUUAAACCCCGUCGUGCUGGGGAUAGAGCAUUGCAAUUGUUGCUCUUCAACGAGGAAUGCCUAGUAAGCGCGCGUCAUCAGCGUGCGUUGAUUACGUCCCUGCCCUUUGUACACACCGCCCGUCGCUACUACCGAUUGAACGGCUCAGUGAGGCCCUCGGACUGGCUCGGGGAGGCUGGAAACGGCCACCCCAGGCCGGGAAGUCGGACGAACUCGGUCGUUUAGAGGAAGUAAAAGUCGUAACA
rnacentral:rRNA from 1 species